rnacentral:rRNA from 1 species
GACGAACGCUGGCGGCGUGCCUAAUACAUGCAAGUCGAGCGGGCCUCCGGAGGUGCUUGCACCUCCGGAAGGCCAGCGGCGGACGGGUGAGUAACACGUGGGCAACCUGCCCUUGAGGCCGGGAUAACACCGGGAAACCGGUGCUAAUACCGGAUGCGUCCCCUUUCGCGCCUGCGAGAGGGGAGAAAGACGGUCUUUAAGGCCGUCGCUCAAAGAGGGGCCCGCGGCGCAUUAGCUGGUUGGUGGGGUAAGGGCCUACCAAGGCGACGAUGCGUUGCCGACCUGAGAGGGUGAUCGGCCACACUGGGACUGAGACACGGCCCAGACUCCUGCGGGAGGCAGCAGUAGGGAAUCAUCCGCAAUGGGCGAAAGCCUGACGGUGCAACGCCGCGUGAGUGAGGAAGGUUUUCGGAUCGUAAAGCUCUGUUGUGAGGGAAGAACAGCUUCCGGAGGAAAUGCCGGAGGUUUGCCGGUACCUCACCAGAAAGCCCCGGCUAACUACGUGCCAGCCGCCGCGGUAA